UACGUAGGUGGCAAGCGUUGUCCGGAAUUAUUGGGCGUAAAGCGCGCGCAGGCGGUCCUUUAAGUCUGAUGUGAAAGCCCACGGCUCAACCGUGGAGGGUCAUUGGAAACUGGGGAACUUGAGUGCAGGAGAGAAGAGUGGAAUUCCACGUGUAGCGGUGAAAUGCGUAGAGAUGUGGAGGAACACCAGUGGCGAAGGCGACUCUUAGGCCUGUAACUGACGCUGAGGCGCGAAAGCGUGGGGAGCAAACAGG
rnacentral:rRNA from 1 species